rnacentral:snRNA from 1 species
AUGCUCGCUUUGGCAGCACAUAUACUAAAAUUGGAAUGAUACAGAGAAGAUUAGCAUGGCCCCUGCACAAGGAUGUUUUCGUGAAGCGUUCUGUAUUUUU